rnacentral:rRNA from 1 species
UACGAAGGGGGCUAGCGUUGUUCGGAAUUACUGGGCGUAAAGGGCGCGUAGGCUGUGCUGUAAGUCAGGCGUGAAAGCCCUGGGCUCAACCUAGGAAGUGCAUUCGAUACUCCGGAGCUUGAGUCCUGGAGAGGAAGGCGGAAUUCUCGGUGUAGAGGUGAAAUUCGUAGAUAUCGAGAGGAACACCGGUGGCGAAGGCGGCCUUCUGGACAGUGACUGACGCUGAGACACGGAAAGCGUGGGGAGCAAACAGG